UGUGAGCGCGCGUGCGUCUGAUGUUGCUAAAAAUCCAUUGGCUGGCAUCUCUGUGGUGGAAUGCUGCUGGGACCCCCUUCUAACCUCCUCUCAACCCUCCCCUUGAGUCCACCCAUCCACCCAUUAGGAAUUCCAGCAGGGCACUGUGGGUGGGAUGAAUGGCAUGAGAGCCAAGGAAAUGAAGUUCAGAGGGAUUGGCGUACAGUUAGGCCUCAUCAAGAUCUAUGAGAUCUACUGUCCACUUGAUUGAAGGCCAGGAGUGACAUAUCAGCUGUGGAACGUGUGAGCUUUGCUUUAGUGUGUUGGUCUGAAUUGGGGAAAAUGCAUCUGAGGGAUCCCGGAGCCCAAUCCAAACAUCUGUCUGUUUCACCUCUGCGUCUCUUGAGGGAGUCGUGCAUAUCUUCAUCUAGAAGAGAGUUCGGAUCUCUGAGUCAUCAAAACGGAGCGCCAGCAUUGUGAUUGAACUGUACAAAAACAGGAUUGUGGGUAAAAAAAGAAACACCACACAAGCACAAAAGCUGACUUAUGAAUCACACGCAUUAAUCUGCGAAUGUAUGACUCACUGGAUUUUUUUUGAGAAGCGCAAACUUGUUUCAAUGGUAACAGAAGGGAAAACGUGAGUGAAGUUUUAUGGUUUAUCGCAGGCCAAAAGCAUACUUGGAAAAGUGUCGUUUUGUUAUUAUUUAUAUACCAAUGUAGUUUUUAAUGUUUUAUAAUAUUAUUAGUUUUUCGUUUGCUAUUUAGAUUAUUUAU